UCUAAUUCAAGGGCACAUCGUGAAACAACAAGGUUACAUAAUGAUGAAAGCAGAAAUGCCAGAGACGGAGGAGACGGAGAAGGUCGAACAAGUUUUCGGAGAAGAAAUUCUUUUAACACAAGGUUGAUAUCGGAACACUGAUGAAGGCGAAAUUGAUCAAGGCUGUGAGAGAAGAAGGGAGGCAGUGGCAACAGCAAUACAUCAACGUUCGUGCUUUGAAAGGCUGCAGCUUCCCCUCCUGAACUCACCUCAGAUAAAAGUUAAUGAUGUUGCUGGUCAGUCUGAAAGCAGUGAGAUGAUAACAAUUUGUUGGCACCACAGUUGAGCUUCCCACCCUGAGAUCGACGUCAGAGGACAAUGGCCGCUGUGUGGUUUCUUGUCCACGGUGUUAAACACACUGACUCUUUGUAAGACUGGUUGCUGGGACAGAGAUUCACAUAAUCACACAACACAGAGACACGGAAAUCGAAGAUCGAGCCGCAGAUGGGAAACAACGGACUACUUCCCGAUGGCACGCGGGAAAGUGACAAAUGAUACGUUUGUGAACGCACACACAAGACAAUCUUAGUUACAUUACAACCUUUCAAACUAUUGACUGGACCAGUAGAACAAGUCAGUUUCCCACAUUCUUCGUCUACUCACAAGCUGCAUUCCAGCCAAAGAACAGGUGGCCUUUUUAGCCGGCUUGCAGUUAUACGUCUGACCUCCAACCUUCAAGGAAGGACAGCAACGUGGCUUUUAGAUUUCCAAUUUCCUUGUCGGGCCAGUACAUCCUGUUUAAUUGGUCGCUACAACUCAAGCGUGAGGUUCAGUUCAGGUUUUAUACUUCCUUUUUGGUGGGAUGUCAUGUUUUUUUUCCUUAAAGUCUGACCGGGGCCGUUCAAGUUCAGGGCAAGAGAAGUUAGACGGACUCUACUAUUAAAUUCCCUUCAGAAUAAAAAACUAUCAUACCGCAACUUGUUGUAGAACAAAUAUGUAAUUUUCUGUUUUCAUCCUACCAUUGAAAAUAACC